AAUUCAAGAGAAAAAACAAGUCCUUUCCCGUAAUUUUUGAGUUGCGUUGCAUAUUCGUGUUCUCGGCCAAACCCUCGCCUAUAAAUUCCAGUUGACGAAGCCUCUUGAAACCCUCUCUAGCUCUCUAGUUGCUGCGUCGCUCUCUCCUCUCAAAUCCCUAGUAAAGCUUGUUGGGGCGAUCCGAGAGAAAGACUCUGCUGCAAACAUGUUGGUUUACCAAGACCUCCUCACUGUUGCAGUUGUGGCAUCUUAUUUGGUCUUCACAACAAUGUGGGUGCCCUUCCACGGUUCCUGGGCAUUGAUAAGUUUUUGCACCACCUCCAUAUCUGCCGCGGUUUCGACAUAGAUUGUAUCAAGCUUUUGAAUUUGGGAGAGUACACUUGGUAAACUUGCUGUUGCUCUAUUCUUUUGAUUUUUGUUUCUCCUAGCGUUGGAUUGUUUAAGGGUGCUCCAAGCUUUUUUUAAGAGGCGGAUCAAUUUUAAAGAACGGGGAAUAGUCAUGUAAAAUGUGUUUAGAUGAUGAUGCAAAUGAAAUAUGUAGUUAAUUUAGGAUGUGAGUAAAAUGUGAAGGAAGAUGAUGUCAAUAUAUAGGAGGAGAGUGAGGUAGAGGUUGAGUGUUGGGUUUAAUUCUGGAGUUAGAAGGAGAGUGAAAGAGGAAAGGAGUUGUGCUUGCAUCUGCUCUCUCUUUGCCAUUUUUGAUGAUGCAGGACAUCGUAGAGCAGAAUCAAAAAUGGAUAAAGGUUUGUAUGAGUAUGAAAUUUGAAAUAUCAGCAGAAGUACUCUUAUUAAUAGUUGGAUACAUCUUCACGUUAGCCAUCAAUGAAAAAAAAACAAGUUUUCAAUUAUUUUUUAAAAAAAAGCCCGAACCAGCUUCUAAGUUAUUGGUAAAUCAAACUUUCCUGUGUAAAUUUGUUUUUCUUUCAGGUGAGGUAUGUGUAAAAACGUUGUUGGUAAUUUAAAUGUGGGUUUUUCAAAUCCUUUCUCAAUUUUUUCGCACUUUAUCAGCCACAUUAAAUGUGUGUUGUGAAUCUACUAGUUAGCAUUCAAAUCUCCUCUAGAAUGUUGCACAAUCUACUUUUUAUAAUGCAUUUGGAUUUAUUAAAAAAAACUACUCCCAAUCUACUUUUUACAAUGCUUUUGGAUAAAUAAAUAAAUAACAAAAUAAUGGUGGGAAGGGUCAGCAAAGCCUGUUUAUCAACCAUGCCUAGGGAACCGGCUCUUCUUAGAUUCCCACGCUGCGCGAUAUUUUCAUUAAAGCUCUUAUCGUUCCUGCCUUGUAUUUUCACCAGCUAGCUACAGUUCCCCAACUGGCCCCUAUGAUGGAUGAUAUUAAUUUGUUUUUUUCCCAUGGAUGGCUAACGUGAAGAUGUAUCCAACUAUUAAUAAGAGUACUUCUGCUGAUAUUUCAAAUUUCAUGCACUCAUACGAACCUUUAUUCAUUUUUGGUUCUGCUUUCCGAUGUCUUGCAUCAUCAAAAAUGGCAAAGAGAGAGCAGAUGAAAGCACAACUCCUUUCCUCUCUCACUCUCCUUCUAACUCCAGAAUUAAACCCAACACUCACCCUCCUCCUAUAUAUUGACAUCAUCUUCCUUCACAUUUUACUCACAUCCUAAAUUAACUACAUAUUUCAUUUGCAUCAUCUAAACACAUUUUACAUGGCUAUUCCCCAUUCUUUAAAAUUGAUCCGCCUCUUAAAAAAAGCUUGGAGCACCCUUAAACAAUCCAACGCUAGGAGAAACAAAAAUCAAAAGAAUAGAGCAACAGCAAGUUUACCAAUUGUACUCUCCCAAAUUGAAAAGCUUGAUACAAUCUAUGUCCAAACCACGGCAGAUAUGGAGGUGGUGGAAGGACGCAAAUACUGAAAGUUCUUUGGAAUCUGGGGGCGGAGACACUAGUGGGGAGAACUCCGACUCCAACAACGACAACGCCGGAACAAGCAGCUGUGACUAGUAAUUUAAUUAUUAGUGUCUGUUAUGUAGUUUGAAAUCUGCAGACAUAAUAUUAUUUGUUUUAUUUUGGUGUGUAAUUUUAAGUCUUCGGACAUUAACACUCUUUGUUUUGUUUCGGUGUGUAAUUUUAAGUCUUUGGACAUUAACACUCUUUGUUUCA